rnacentral:lncRNA from 1 species
ACAAUAGUGAGUCUGUAAACUCAGUCUCCUUCUACUGUCACUCCUUUCAUUCAGAAACAUACUUGGAAUAUCGUCAAGUCUCAUUUUAUAGGUGAAAAAUGACGCCCAAGGCUGGGGAGAGGGAGUCACUUGCUCAGGGUUGCCUGGCUAUUCGGGGGGCAGAACUUGGGUCAGAACAAGGGCCUCAACCUGAGCUUUUCCCAGAUUAUUUUACUUGCCCAGACUCUUUUAACCUAGGGGAAAGUUGCAGGAUUACAGUAAAGGACGGAGGAGUGAACCCCACUGGUGGGUGCGCCUGGGGUAGUGGAGAGGAGGGCAGUAUAAGUUCACGGUUGGUCCCCGUGGGGUCACUUUACUCAGGCUUCUGGCGCCACCUGGAGGGAGAUUUGGGAAGUGCAUCCACCUCCCGCCACUGUAGCCUGCUCCUGGCUUCGGGAUGUUUCCUCUAACACUCCCUUUCCUUCCAGCUCCUGGUCUAUUUUGGGGGCUUAUUGGAACAGAGAAUGUAGGUAACUUGGAGUUUUGUUUUUUGGUUUAGGAGGUCAAAAUACAAAUGCCCACAGGGGUCAGACCACUAAUGUAAAAGAGGAAAGUGAGUCUGGGUUAAGAAACUGUGGAUAGACACAGGUUGUUUGCACAUGAAAAAUGCUGGAAUAGUCUUCUGCUCACAAAGAAUUGUGUUUUCCAUUGUCUUUUUUGAAACCUGCUGGCCUUUCAUUCUCCCACUGUAGAUUGAAAGAUGGGUGCAGGGGUGGUUUAAUUUUCUUUUUAGCUCUAUCAUAAGGUGGUCCAAGUGUAGAAAAGGCAUCUGACAUUCGGCUUCAUUGUUGGGACAAUAAAAGGGAAUGGUGAGGACCAUGGCCAGCUAGAAUUACUGAUAAUCCCUGGACCAGAGGCACCCCUUCCAUGAAGCUCUUGUUUUAGCAGGCUCUGCUUUGUUACCCUCCGGCUCUGACUCUUGACCCUUAGUGAGGAGUCCAAGGGGCCAAGGAGGUACCCACCCAGACGGAGCUGUGUCUCCCCGUCCCUGUCCAGAUGGACCUGAGCUCACUUCCAGAAACUGCUGGGCUUCUUCCCUGGGCCCUCUCUCCCUUGAACCUCUAGUUCUGACAGUGGCUAUGGGAUGGUUGAUUUGGGGGUGGAUGGGUGUCCAGAGCUGGCCCAUCCUGUCAGGCAGCCACCAGCCACCAGUCACCAGCCACAUGCGGCGAUGGAGGAUUUGAAACAUGGCCAGGCUGAACUGGGAUGUGCUGUAAGUAUAAAAUAGAUAGCACAUCUUGAAGAUAGUAUGAGAAAAAAUGAAUAUAAAAUAUUCAUAAUUUGAUUACAUGUUGAAAUAAUAUUUUGGAUGUAUUGGGUUAAAUAUGUGUACUAUUAAAAUGAAUUCCACCUAUUCCUUUUUACUUUAUGAAGUAGCUACUAGAAAAUUUAAUAUUCCAUAUGGGGCUGGCAUUUGUAGCUCACAUUCUAUUUCUAUUGGGCUGGUACAGAGGGCCCUUGGAAGACUUGUUAGGGUGUCCACAGGCCUGUGCAUGAGGGCCCUUCAAAUAUGGGGUGAGAUUCAGGAUGCAGCUGGGUCAGAAGAGCAGGGGGCUGUGGGUCUCCCUUUGCAACCCGUCCUGGCUCCCCAGAUGCUGGGACCAGGCCCAGGGGGGCCUCUCUCCUCAGCCCCUGCCCGCUGUAGAAGACAUGCAGGGAUUCCAGAGCUUUCAACUUUGCAACAGAAAUCGGAAAUCUGGAUUUUUACAAGAAAUCUCUUGAUUUAAAAACGUUGGCAACUAAUUCAAAUGUUUGGAAAAAACAUUGUCCUGGCCAAGACCUCACAAGCCACAGAAAAUAUAUCUUUGGGCUCUGGUUCAAAGCAGAGAGACUGAGGGACUUCCCUGGCGGUCCAGUUGUUAAGACUCUGUGAUCCCUGGGCGGGGAACUAACAUUCCGCAUGUUGCAUGGUGCGGCC